CCUACGGGAGGCAGCAGUAGGGAAUCUUUCACAAUGGGCGAAAGCCUGAUGGAGCAACGCCGCGUGCAGGAUGAAGGCCUUCGGGUUGUAAACUGCUUUUAUAAGCGAGAAAUAUGAUGGUAACUUAUGAAUAAGGAUCGGCUAACUACGUGCCAGCAGCCGCGGCCAUACGUAGGAUCCGAGCAUUAUCCGGCGUGACUGGGUGUAAAGAGUUGCGUAGGUGGCAUAGUAAGUAGCUAGUGAAAUCUGGUGGCUCAACCAUUCAGACUAUUAGCUAAACUGCUAAGCUCGAGGCCGUUAGGGGUAACUGGAAUUUCUAGUGUAGGAGUGAAAGCCGUAGAUAUUAGAAGGAACACCGAUAGCGUAGGCAGGUUACUGGGACGGUUCUGACACUAAGGCACGAAAGCGUAGGGAGCAAACGGGAUUAGAUACCCUUGUAGUC
rnacentral:rRNA from 1 species